rnacentral:rRNA from 1 species
GAGGAAUAUUGGUCAAUGGGCGAGAGCCUGAACCAGCCAAGUAGCGUGCAGGAUGACGGCCCUAUGGGUUGUACACUGCUUUUAUAAGGGAAUAAAGUGAGUCUCGUGAGACUUUUUGCAUGUACCUUAUGAAUAAGGACCGGCUAAUUCCGUGCCAGCAGCCGCGGUAAUACGGCAGGUCCGGGCGUUAUCCGGAUUUAUUGGGUUUAAAGGGAGCGUAGGCCGGAGAUUAAGCGUGUUGUGAAAUGUAGACGCUCAACGUCUGCACUGCAGCGCGAACUGGUUUCCUUGAGUACGCACAAAGUGGGCGGAAUUCGUGGUGUAGCGGUGAAAUGCUUAGAUAUCACGAAGAACUCCGAUUGCGAAGGCAGCUCACUGGAGCGCAACUGACGCUGAAGCUCGAAAGUGCGGGUAUCGAAC